UUCCAUGCACCAAUUAUACAACUACACUUUGCCAAACUUUUAAUUUUUUUUUUUUUUUCACACAAAUUGUACUUUAGUUAUAGAUAUACAGGUUCUGGUAUAUGUCACUGUCAAACAACACCC